GACGAACGCUGGCGGCGUGCCUAAUACAUGCAAGUUGAGCGCUGAAGGUUGGUACUUGUACCAACUGGAUGAGCAGCGAACGGGUGAGUAACGCGUGGGGAAUCUGCCUUUGAGCGGGGGACAACAUUGGGAAAGGAAUGCUAAUACCGCAUAAAAACUUUAAACACAAGUUUUAAGUUUGAAAGAUGCAAUUGCAUCACUCAAGGUGGAUCCCGCGUUGUAUUAGCUAGUUGGUGAGGUAAAGGCUCACCAAGGCGAUGAUACAUAGCCGACCUGAGAGGGUGAUCGGCCACAUUGGGACUGAGACACGGCCCAAACUCCUACGGGAGGCAGCAGUAGGGAAUCUUCGGCAAUGGACGAAAGUCUGACCGAGCAACGCCGCGUGAGUGAAGAAGGUUUUCGGAUCGUAAAACUCUGUUGGUAGAGAAGAACGUUGGUGAGAGUGGAAAGCUCAUCAAGUGACGGUAACUACCCAGAAAGGGACGGCUAACUACGUG
rnacentral:rRNA from 1 species